rnacentral:rRNA from 1 species
UACGGAGGGUGCAAGCGUUUUUCGGAAUUACUGGGCGUACAGGGCGCGUAGGCGGUGCAGUAAGUCAGAUGUGAAAGCCCUGGGCUCAACCCAGGAAGUGCAUUUGAAACUGCUGUACUUGAGUAUGGGAGAGGAGAGUGGAAUUCCCAGUGUAGAGGUGAAAUGCGUAGAUAUUGGGAGGAACACCCGUGGCGAAGGCGACUCUCUGGAACAAUACUGACGCUGAGGCUCGAAAGCGUGGGGAGCAAACAGG